rnacentral:misc_RNA from 1 species
GGUUCUAACCAGGCUGUCUCAUGGGCUGCGAGAUCACGUCUUCCAGAAGUUUCGCAUGGUGGGAACAGACAUUUAGGUGCAUCCUCUGAUGUUGCAAUGAAGAGUUCACCUGCCCAAGUUUCUGCAUCAAAAAAUGCUCCAGUCAAGCUUGUCCCAGGGGAGACUACAGCCAAGUCUGCAUCUGCAUCUCCAGGUUCCAUGAAAU